rnacentral:lncRNA from 1 species
GGAAUCUCAACGUUUCUUGGUGGAGCUGUUGUCAGGGGGACUUUGGGUCACGUACUGCUGACUCCCAAGCUCUCCGUGGUCUUGUUUGAAGAAGUAGACAGAUUUACGGAGUACCGGCUUCUAGUACUUUCUUUAAAACACUAUUGCAAGAACUCAUUAUUACUACAUGAGAUCAAGAAGUGUCACAAGGCAGAAAAAGCACAAGACAUUUUAGUUGCUGUCGUGUUCUGGAAUGUGGCUACGAAUCAGUACAAUUGUAAGGAAAUGGAGGAAUCUGCUCACUCUGCAAGACAUUUGACAUCACUGAGGCAUGUAUUUCAAAUUGAAAUUUGUGUUUUUGUAUUUGAUUUAUUAAAAAUGAGACAAUUACUAAGCUACACAUCACCGUUACAACUUUGAAAUCUUGUUAAAGGGCCCUUCAUUGUAAAAGAGAAGUGUAGUCAUAACUCAUGCAAGGUAUUUUUGAUUUAAAAAUAUCUUUGAAUUGAAAUAAUAAUGAAAACUUAGAAAAUUGUGAAAAGUUAUGUAUUCAGUCUGUAUCUUAAAAUCAUCAUGCUGGUGCUGUCCCCAGAUAUCAGAGCUCACAUGGGUUUAUCAUAUUUGUUCAUCACUUUUUCUCACAGUUUUACAGCAUAUUAUUGCACAUAAGAUGAACUGCAUCUGUUUUGUUGCUGGGUUUUGCUGAUAUUUGCUGCGGAGGAAAUUACGAUGAAGUGAAAUGGGGUUAUGGGAGAUGAGAUGAGGUCGAUGAAUAGGAUGAGAAGCAAGGCCUACGGAGCUGGAGAAAAUGAAUGCGAGAAAAUGCAGUCUAAGUACUUUGAAGUCUGAAGGCAGAGAAGGUCAAAAAGAAUGAGGAAAAAUAGCUCUAAUAUGAUUCAAAUGCAUAUUCAUGGAAACGCAGCACAGUUCUAUGGGAUCAAUAAGCUCUACAGAAGAAAAUAAGGUAGCGUAGCUCAAAAUGGUCUUGACCACACAACUGGCUUCUCGUGAGAACGGCUACACGUGAAGAGGACGCCACGGGGACAGUGAUGGGGACUGUCUUAAAAGACCUGGGAAUUCUAUGUUUGGGAAAAAGGACCUUAACCUUUUCCAAGCUGUGGGCCUCGUGAAUCUGAUGAAAGUGAAGGACUCCUGCUAGAAAAAUAACGUAAAUAAGUAUUGUAACGACCCACGUUACCGCGAGUUUCAGUGAGAAACCCGUUUAUUGUAAAUAGUUGCAUUAUGGGAAAAAUGUGAAUAAAGUUUGCAACCACUGGAGGGAAUUAAAGGAA